rnacentral:tRNA from 1 species
UUCCCCGACCUGGGUUCGAACCAGUGCCCCCUGCAGUGGAAGUGCAGAGUCUUAACCACUGGACCAUCAGGGA